UAUCCGAAAGGGUAAGUUUCAUUCAUAUUUGUUAAAUUACAACUGGAUACAAGGUUUGUUGGUAUCCUUGAGAAAUAAAUCGGCAGUUCGCUCAUUUUGGGCAGGUCUAUGACCAACGUGCUAGAUAAGAUAAGAUAUAAGAUAAAUACACAUAUUCAGGAUAAAUACAAAGGUAAAUUAAUCCACAUGCAACAAUAUUACCCAAGCAACUUGAAAAUCAUGAUUCUCAAAAAAUAUAAUUAAUAUUUUAAAUGAUACCCUUCAACCAUCUAACCAAUUCUAAUAUUCAGCAAACAAGGAUAUCAAAAAAGAAAUAUUCUUUUAGUCAUGGAGAAUUUACAAAAAAUUAAUUUAUCAGCAGAUUUAUUAUUCUUAUAUUUAUGAUUAAUAAUUUGACAUAAUCACCUAGAACUUUUCAAAAUAAUUUGUAAAAAUGUGAAUUUUUAAUGUGGCAAGAUAAACUUUUAAGCAUUUCAAAAUAUAAAUUUCAUAUCAACAGGCACAAAUAAGCUAAAAAGGCAUAAAUGUGUAUUUACAAUAAAGAGUAAAAAGACUCAAUUAACAAUUGAUAGCCUUUUUGGUACUGAUCCCAAAAAACUCAAAAGUUAUGCCAAAUUAUGCUCAUGUUUUGUGGACGUGAUUUGAGAUCAUUUGAUGCAAUUCAUGGGGAUGGCUUUGUUGAUUGUUGCCAAUAUUUUGGAAAAAUUGACUCAAUAUAUGGAAAUAUUAAUAUUAAAAGCAUCAUUCCAAAUCCCACGACAAUAUCUUGAAAUUUAAUAUACUACUGAUGGUAUACAAAAUUUCCGAAAUCAAACGCAUAUAUGAAAAAGGGUCGAUGUGCUAAUAACAAAUAUGAAAAUAUGGAAUUAUUUAUAAUUUUUAGAUUCGAUUGUAUUUUAACUUUUUUUAUAAUAUUUCUUACAAAUUAAAUAAAAUGCAACUUAAUAUAUAUCUUGAUUAGAUUAUAGCCAUCAAAUAAACUUUAAUUUAAGGUGGCGAUGAAUAAAUUCACAUAAAUUUUAUUUGGUUACUAUAAUAUUCAAAUUGUCGAAUUUUGCCUAGGUGUUGAAUUAAAAAGUGUGUGCUCGGGCUGUAAAAAAACGCAGACAUCUAGUUACAGUGACCUCAUGGUGGUUCAAGCGAUAACGGAUUGUUCAAGAAUAUUUCAAAGUUUAACCGUAUCAGGUCAAUUCAGCGAAACUUUUAUCGCGAAUGUCGUUUAUCGCGAAGGAAUUUUAUAGCGAAGGUAAUAUAGCGAAACCAAUUCCGCGAAUUUUUUUCCGCGAACAUUUAUAGCGAAGAAUAUCGCGAACUUAUUAUCGCGAAUUUAUUUCCGCGAAUACUUUAUAGCGAAUACAUUUUAGCAAAACUUUGAUCGCGAACUCGUUAUAGCGAAUUUAUUUCCGCGAAACCUUAACCGCGAAUACUUUAUAGCGAAUACAUUUUAGCAAAACUUUUAUCGCGAACUCUUUAUAGCGAAUUUAUUUUCGCGAAACUUUAACCGCGAAUACUUUAUAGCGAAUACAUUUUGGCGAAACUUUGAUCGCGAACUCAUUAUCACGAAUUUAUUUCCGCGAAACCUAAACCGCGAAUACAUUUUAGCGAAACUUUGAUCGCGAACUCGUUAUAGCGAAACUUUAAUCCUGAACCAUUUAUAGCGAGUUUUCUACCGCGAAUGUAUUUGCCCGAAAUUAUUAUAGCGACCGUAUGACCGCGAAAAUUGUGAAUUCAUUUUAAGUGAAAUUAAUAUAUUCAAUAUGAAUUUACCAACCGAAGUUUCUUAUAUCAUAAACGCGAAUGUUUUAAGAAUAUUUUAUUAUGUAUUGUUUAUUUAAUAAGCAUGUAACUAGUGUUGCGUAAUCGGCUAAAAACUAAGCCUAAAAAUCGCCUAAGCCUAAUUAGGUAAGCCUAAAAAUCGGCUAAGGCCGCAUUCAUAGUGGAAUCCGAUCCGACACGAUUUAACAGCUGAUCAAUUUUUAAAUCGGUUUAUGAGAAUCAAUUUUUCUUUAUUAAAACCAAUAUUUCUUAGGUUAUUAUCAUGUAUAAAAUUAAAGAUAAAAUUAAUAUUAUUAAAAAUAAAUUAAUCUCAUAAACAGAUUUUAAAAAUCAAUCAGCUGUUAAAUCGUGUCGGAUCGGAUCCUACUAUGAAUGCUGCCUCCCCAACUGUACCUCUAACUCUGGCAGAAAAGUAUGAUAAAAUGCGUAAAGUAUGGGCGGGACUCCAACAAGAUCUCCUCGAGCCAAAAUGCAAAGCCAGUGUCCGGGACCGUCAUGAGAUUAAGCACGAGCCAAAAUGCAAAGCCAGUGUCCGGGACCGUCAUGAGAUUAAGCACAUAGCCAAUGUGCUGGAAAUCAUUAACGAAGCCUCCGACACCAGACUCAUGGAGGAGAUGACUAAGCGAAUACGUGUCCUAGCGCUAGCCAUUCACUGGAACUGGCAGACAGCUAUAAACAACGACGCGUCCUAUCAAGAAAAGUUCCUUGGGGGCGAAGAAAUAAAAGUCUACCGCGAAAGCCGGCCCUUUCGACAGGGGCUAAGGCCCAUCUACCUCGGGCACCUACAGGAGACCAGAGAGGAAGGAACCGGCCUCCGCCAGGGGCAAGAAAAGGAAGUAGUCUCGCCCCAAAUAUCAAUAAUCCUUCGUUUCUUCUUCCUCCUCUACCUACUAAUUCUAAUUCUCCUUCUACUUCCUCAAAUG